GACGAACGCUGGCGGCGUGCUUAACACAUGCAAGUCGAACGGAAAGGCCCUGCUUUUGUUGGUUGCUCGAGUGGCGAACGGGUGAGUAACACGUGAGUAACCUGCCCUUGUCUUUGGGAUAUCUUCAGGGAACUGGGGCUAAUACCGGAUAGGAUCUCCUGCUGCAUGGUGGGGGAUGGAAAGUUUCGGCGGUUGGGGAUGGACUCGCGGCUUAUCGGCUUGUUGGUGGGGUAGUGGCUUACCAAGGCUUUGACGGGUAGCCGGCCUGAGGGGGUGACCGGCCUCAUGGGGACUGCGGGACGGCGCAGACGCCUACGGGAGGCAGCGGGGGGGAGUAUUGCAGAAUGGGCGGAAGCGUGAGGCAGCAGCGCCGCGUGCGUGAUGACGGGUUUCGGGUUAUAAACCGCUUUCGCCUGUGACGAAGAGUGAGUGACGGUAAUGGGUAAAGAAGCACCGGCUAACUACGUG
rnacentral:rRNA from 1 species